AUUGAACGCUGGCGGCAUGCUUUACACAUGCAAGUCGAACGGCAGCGCGGGCUUCGGCCUGGCGGCGAGUGGCGAACGGGUGAGUAAUGCAUCGGAACGUGCCCAGUAGUGGGGGCUAGCCCGGCGAAAGCCGGAUUAAUACCGCAUACGACCUGAGGGUGAAAGCGGGGGACCGAAAGGCCUCGCGCUAUUGGAGCGUCCGAUGUCGGAUUAGCUAGUUGGUGGGGUAAAGGCUUACCAAGGCGACGAUCCGUAGCUGGUCUGAGAGGACGACCAGCCACACUGGGACUGAGACACGGCCCAGACUCCUACGGGAGGCAGCAGUGGGGAAUUUUGGACAAUGGGGGCAACCCUGAUCCAGCCAUGCCGCGUGCGGGAAGAAGGCCUUCGGGUUGUAAACCGCUUUUGUUCGGGAAGAAAUCCUCUGGGCUAAUACCCCGGGGGGAUGACGGUACCGGAAGAAUAAGCACCGGCUAACUACGUG
rnacentral:rRNA from 1 species